GAUGAAGAACGUAGCAAAAUGCGAUACGUAAUGUGAAUUGCAGAAUUCAGUGAAUCAUCGAGUCUUUGAACGCACAUUGCGCCCCCUGGUAUUCCGGGGGGCAUGCCUGUCCGAGUGUCAUUGCUGCCCUCAAGCACGGCUUGUGUGUUGGGCCUCCGCCCCCCGGCUCCCGGGGGGCGGGCCCGAAAGGCAGCGGCGGCACCGCGUCCGGUCCUCGAGCGUAUGGGGCUUCGUCACCCGCUCCGUAGGCCCGGCCGGCGCCCGCCGGCGACCCCCCUCAAUCUUUCCAGGUUGACCUCGGAUCAGGUAGGGAUACCCGCUGAACUUAAGCAUAUCAAUAAGCGGAGGA
rnacentral:misc_RNA from 1 species